UACCCUGGUAGUCCACGCCGUAAAAGAUGUCUAAUUGGAGGUUGUGGCCUUGAGCCGUGGCUUUCGGAGCUAACGCGUUAAGUAGACCGCCUGGGGAGUACGGUCGCAAGAUUAAAGCUCAAAUGAAUUGACGGGGGCCCGCACAAGCGGUGGAGCAUGUGGUUUAAUUCGAUGCAACGCGAAGAACCUUACCUACUCUUGACAUCUACAGAAGCCAGCGGAGACGCAGGUGUGCCUUCGGGAACUGUAAGACAGGUGCUGCAUGGCUGUCGUCAGCUCGUGUUGUGAAAUGUUGGGUUAAGUCCCGCAACGAGCGCAACCCUUAUCCUUGUUUGCCAGCACUUCGGGUGGGAACUCCAGGGAGACUGCCGGUGAUAAACCGGAGGAAGGUGGGGACGACGUCAGGUCAUCAUGGCCCUUACGAGUAGGGCUACACACGUGCUACAAUGGCGCAUACAGAGGGCAGCCAACUUGCGAAAGUGAGCGAAUCCCAAAAAGUGCGUCGUAGUCCGGAUUGGAGUCUGCAACUCGACUCCAUGAAGUCGGAAUCGCUAGUAAUCGUGGAUCAGAAUGCCACGGUGAAUACGUUCCCGGGCCUUGUACACACCGCCCGUCACACCAUGGGAGUGGGCUGCAAAAGAAGUGGGUAGUUUAACCUUCGGGAGGACGCUCACCACUUUGUGGUUCAUGACUGGGGUGAAGUCGUAACAAGGUAACCG
rnacentral:rRNA from 1 species